AUUAGGGGAGGAAAAAAAUCCAUCCCAAAACCUCAGUUAUUUCAAAACAUACCAAAAGUGGAUUGACAGUGGAUGAAGAGGAGGAGGAGGCAAUAGUGAACACACAACACAGUUCAAGCUGGCAAGGAGCCUUUUCUUGAAGAAUGAGGAAGAGCGAUCUGCUGGCAAAUUGCUUUUGGGAGAACCAAACUCAAACGAGGAGCGGGAAGGGUGUUGCCAUUGUCAUCAUCACCCCCUGCAGUGCCAACCUCACCUUUUGAUGGAGACACAGAGGAAAAAAUUAGAGAGACACAGCAGAUGAACAUCAGACCUGGCUGUGGACAGGCUGCAUGUGUCCCCUCCCCCGCCCCCCCAAAAUCAUCUCCAGCUGUAAAACACUUCAGGGCUGACAGAAACCACACGCAGCCCAGUCAUAACCCAAUCUGCAGAGCUGCAUUCCAAUAAAAGCGCAGCGUGGACCUAGGAGAAA